CCUCGUUCAUGUUUACCGGGGCCGGGG
rnacentral:sRNA from 1 species